UACGGGGGGAGCAAGCGUUGUUCGGAUUUACUGGGCGUAAAGGGCGCGUAGGCGGUCGUGACAAGUCACUUGUGAAAUCUCCGGGCUUAACUCGGAAAGGUCAAGUGAUACUGUCGGACUAGAGUACAGAAGGGGCAACUGGAAUUCUCGGUGUAGCGGUGAAAUGCGUAGAUAUCGAGAGGAACACCUGCGGCGAAGGCGGAUUGCUGGGCUGAUACUGACGCUGAGGCGCGAAAGCGUGGGGAGCGAACAGG
rnacentral:rRNA from 1 species